CUAGAGGGGAGAAGGCUUCUCUGCCUCCUGCCUAGUAACACAGCUUCUUUCCUCAACCCUAUACCUGUCUCUUGUAUGGUCACAACAGACCUGGAGACCUUUAAAACCCCAAAUCUAAUUUUAACAGCUGAAAAAAAAUCUUGUUUCCCUUUCUCCUAAUCACUAAACCUGCCAGAAAUUGAUGGGAAAUGUUUGCAUUUCUAUCAUUUUGGGACAUCAGAGAAGUGUAUUAAAAAUAAAACAAUUGGGAUCCCUGGGUGGUGCAGUGGUUUAGCGCCUGCCUUUGGCCCAGGGCGUGAUCCUGGAGACCCGGGAUCGAAUCCCACGUCGGGCUCCCGGUGCAUGGAGCCUGCUUCUCCCUCUGCCUUUGUCUCUGCCUCUCUCUCUCUCUCUCACUGUGUGCCUAUCAUAAAUAAAAAAUAAAAAAAAUUAAAAAAAUAAAAUAAAAUAAAACAAUUGUGCUUUUAAAAUAUGCAAACAGCCAGAACAUUCUAUCUUGCUAAUGUCUUUGCCUGCAAUCUCCUUUCCCAUUUUUCACCAGGCCAACUCCCACUUAUCCUUGAGGACUCAGCUCAGACAUCACCUCGGAUAGGAAUUAUCCACAUCCAUGAAACACCACCUCUGCAAGAGGCCCUGCAUCAUUUUCUUCCAUGUGGCCAACCCACCACACCUGGCUCGUAUCAAGUGUGUGCUAAACUGAAUGGAAUUCAGGGCAAGCCAUCCCGAUGGCAUAGAAGACAACGCCUCUACUGCCAGCCUCUUGCUUCUCUGAUUCACUAA
rnacentral:lncRNA from 12 species